UGUGUAUGUUCAAACUUAUCAUGGUUAGACUAUAGCCUUUAGCUUUUUUCUGACCAGCGCCCAAUUCAGUUGACAACUGUCUACCACAUCAGUGAAGCAUGAAGUUGCUAUACCUUGCAAAAGCGGUGAAAACUGGGACUUCAACGUAGCGGUCCUGUUUUGUGGGCGUUGGGCUGUGCAAUGCAAAGUUUCAUAUGAAAAGUGAAACAGCCCUACUUGCUCAUCUGUGGUAUGCAAACGGGACUAUACAGAAGUUACAUUUUUGUUCCUCAUCAUAGACAAAGCUGUCGUCUUUUUGGGCAGUGAAAUGAUCUCAGAUGGUAUAAUUGAGAGAAGACAUCUAGAUACCUAAAAAAAAAACAUAUGAAUCUGCAAUUCAACCAACAAGGAUGAAUGUGAUUUAUCUGCUUUCUGUUCUGUUCUAUUUGGACCAACGUGAACUAACCUGACCAGAGGAAAAAUCGAAAUAAUCCACGUUUUAUACAAGGUCCUCAAGAAAUAAGCUUUCCAUAGAAUGUGUGGAUAAUCCUUACGGAUUUGGUGGCGUCAUCGUCACGGAUAAAGGAACAUACCCCAUUUUUUCCCAUCAGGGGAGUGCCUCCCGUGAUGGACAAGGCCCUCACAGUUCAGUGGAAAAGUUCCAAUGUGCUCACCAUGGAGCGGAUCCAGAGACCAUUGGGGAUUCAAACGGCAGCAAUGUGGCACCACCUGAUAUAUCCACUGAUGAAGAAGUUCCCAUGGAGGUAGACCAGCAGGAGUGAGAAAAACUUCAGUCUGGCGAGGUAUUGCAGUACUAUAACUAUAACAAGAGUCUUGAGGAGGGUUCACUGGAGGCAUUUACAGCCAUCAGGCAUCCAAUGCACCCAUGUUCAUGCACCUAACCAUGUACAUACACAUGCUUGAGGUGCCCUAAUAAAAACAACAAAAACAAAAC